GCCCAGGUGGUGGAACUGCUAGACACGUUGGACUUAAAAUCCAAUGACAGCAAUGUCGUGCGGGUUGGAUUCCCGCCCUGGGCACCA
rnacentral:tRNA from 1 species